AGAGUUUGAUCAUGGCUCAGGAUGAACGCUGGCGGUAUGCUUAACACAUGCAAGUCGAACGGUCUUUUCGGAGACAGUGGCGGACGGGUGAGUAACGCGUAAGAAUCUACCCUCAGGUCGGGGACAACCACUGGAAACGGUGGCUAAUACCGGAUGCGCCGAGAGGUGAAAGGCUUGCUGCCUGGGGAAGAGCUUGCGUCUGAUUAGCUAGUUGGUAGUGUAAGAGACUACCAAGGCGACGAUCAGUAGCUGGUCUGAGAGGAUGAUCAGCCACACUGGGACUGAGACACGGCCCAGACUCCUACGGGAGGCAGCAGUGGGGAAUUUUCCGCAAUGG
rnacentral:rRNA from 1 species